GACGAACGCUGGCGGCGUGCUUAACACAUGCAAGUCGAACGGAAAGGCCCUUCGGGGUACUCGAGUGGCGAACGGGUGAGUAACACGUGGGUGAUCUGCCCUGCACUUUGGGAUAAGCCUGGGAAACUGGGUCUAAUACCGAAUAGGACCACGCGCUUCAUGGUGUGUGGUGGAAAGCUUUUGCGGUGUGGGAUGGGCCCGCGGCCUAUCAGCUUGUUGGUGGGGUAAUGGCCUACCAAGGCGACGACGGGUAGCCGGCCUGAGAGGGUGACCGGCCACACUGGGACUGAGAUACAGCCCAGACUCCUACGGGAGGCAGCAGUGGGGAAUACUGCACAAUGGGCGCAAGCCUGAUGCAGCGACGCCGCGUGAGGGAUGACGGCCUUCGGGUUGUAAACCUCUUUCGAUAGGGACGAAGCGCAAGUGACGGUACCGAUAGAAGAAGCACCGGCCAACUACGUG
rnacentral:rRNA from 1 species